rnacentral:rRNA from 1 species
AUUGAACGCUGGCGGCAGGCCUAACACAUGCAAGUCGAACGAGUGGCGGAUGGGUGAGUAAUGUCCGGGAAACUUCCCGAUGGUGGGGGAUAACUACUGGAAAUGGUAGCUAAUACCGCAUACCAUCAGAUGUGCCCAGAUGGGAUUAGCUUGUUGGUGGGGUAACGGCUCACCAAGGCGACGAUCCCUAGCUGGUCUGAGAGGAUGACCGGCGACACUGGAACUGAGACAGGGUCCAGACUCCUACGGUAGGCAGCAGAGGGGAAUAUUGCACAAUGGGCGCAAGCCUGAUGCAGCCAUGCAGCGGGUAUGAAGAAGGCCUUCGGGUUGUAAAGUACGUUCAGCGGGGAGGCGUUACCCGCAGAAGAAGCAACGGCUAACUCCGUGCCAGCCGCCGCGGUAAUAC